rnacentral:tRNA from 1 species
UCCCCAGUAGCUCAGCCAGGUGUAGAGCGACCGUCUUAUAUGCGGUUGGUCGCUGGUUCAAAUCCAGCCUGGGGGACCA